GCUAUUUAAAUUUUAACCCGCAAUCCCUAUAUUAGGGAUGUUGGGCAACCAACUAUGGCAAUAAACGAGCCUAUGGAAUAGACGUUUCGGACCCGGGGGCGGUACCCGGCGCCUCCACCAUAAGAAUAAUGUUCCUUAUUCGUGUUUAAAGACCGGUUUUGAGCAUGUUUUUAUGAUGGGGGCGAAAUUAGGAUCGACGUGCGUGAUAAAGAUAGUCUUUUUGCCCAGCAUGAUACCGCUGUGACGGGUCAAACUUGAUAAAUGCUAACGAUAACGAAGCAUUUGCUGUAGCAGCUUAAUAGCAUACGCUACGCGGGGUUCGAAGGGCACCUAGCAACAGAAGCCCUUCACU
rnacentral:tmRNA from 1 species